rnacentral:lncRNA from 1 species
CUUAGCCUAGUGGUAGGAGCACUAGGGUGGUGUGACCUUCCCUCCAAGAGACAGAGUGUCUGGAAGAGUGCACCCCAGUAGAGAUGUGUGGGAGGAAAGGAUUUUUGUGAUGAAGAUAUACUGGUGAACUUCCAACUGAAGUCAAUGGAGAAUUGAUGAAGCCAAGAAGUUGUCUCUUGGCUUGGCAAAGUGGAUGUGAACAUAGCAAGCAAACUGGGGAUGGUACUGCCAGAGUCCUGGCUCCUGGUCCUCUCCCCAAACUCUAAUCCUUGCUCCUUUUGCUACGUUAGGCUACAGGGACUUCCUACAAAGGGGUCCCCUCAAGAAACACUGUCUCUCAGAUAUACUCGUGACUACAUUAACCUGUCAAUACUGGAGCAGCUGUGCCAAUUGCAGGAUCGGGGCUGUUCCUGA